AACAAUAUGGCAGUAAUUGAAUUACAGUUAUUGGUGUAUCAUACGCUUUUUAAUUUCAAAAAAAAAAAACGCAAACAAAUUUUUGUGAAAAUAGUUACGUAAAGAUAAGAAUUAGUUGGGUUUUUUAAUUACCAUUUAGCUUACGUGACGCAAAAAACGCUGAUCAGCACAUAAAAGCCGACACAUUACAACAGGAGACGAAACGCGACGCAACGGUGCUGAGCAGCGCGCAUAUUUGAAAUUCCAACGCAGUUCAAUGCGAGCGCAAGCAACACGAAAAGUCAACCGAUCGACGAUUUUCAAGUCAAGUUCGAGUUCAACACACAGCGCGCUUUCUUGCGGCAAUAGUCAAGUGAAAACGUUUAAGCGCGACUUAUACGUUGCGCGACUGCGAGAAAACUGAAAAAUUCCAAACAGUUAAGCUGUCAAGCCAAUCAGCAAAGCGGCCAACGCAAACAAAAUGCGACAGAGUCAAGAGCAUCUGAGCACUGUACUAAUGAAUAUUGAGGACGUAACAUACUCGUAUAAAAAACAUUUAGCAUCGACGACGUGACUCCGGCAUAGCCACCACACGCCAAAAGAGCCAAGUGAGCGCGAAGGAGAGUGCGCAACUCUCGAAGGCACACUCGAAGUCUGUGCGUGCUGGGCAGACGUGUUAUCGACAGGCGGAGAACAGACAAGCGCGACCACAACGAGCAAACAAUCAGAGUCGGUGCCAGCCAGCCGCUGAGAUAGCGUAGAGAGACAGUGAAGAAGAUUGGAGUCAGCGUGAGCGCAAAUGCUAGCUUUGUUGAAUAAGUAGUGAAACGGUAGCGCGGUGACGGAAGAUGCACCAAGAACACGUACCAAAAACACUUCUGCAUGCUCCCAAAAGUUAUGUGUAUGUAUGUGUAUAGAGAAAAACAUUCCAUACCAACGCUGGUUGCAGGAACAAAAAUACUUUACAAUGGUUUGAUUGGCAAAGCGCGGCUGCAACUGCACCGAUCUCUACCAGACACUUGAAGAUGCACAUAACUCAGCUUAGUAAGUCCGGCGCAGUGAACUCGAAAGCAAAUAAUGCAUGCUGCAGACAUCGGCAACUCAAUCGCGAAAAGCGGCUGGGUGCAUUCAGCAACUCUAGUUUAGUAAGUAUGCUCUGUAGUGGCAACUAAUUUGUGUACCGCUUGGCACCCACUGCAACACAAAGCUAGCCAAGUGUGUGAGUAUGUGCCGCUUUGGAGGCUUAUAGGUUGUUGCUGUUCUAUUUGUUUUGCGUGCGUAUCGACAAUAAUGUGAUUCUGCCUCAAUUCUGUUGGUGUGCUGUAUUGUGCUGAAACGUCACCCAGUAAACCGUUAAUUUUCUUUAUGUUUCAACAAAAUAGCGCAGCUAGUUUCACUUUGAAAAACUUAAAUUCAGAACGAUUAAAUGAAAUCUCAUGAAACUUUGACUAUUCAGUAUAAGGUUAGUACUCUAAGGCACAGAUAAAUAUUUUUAGUUUGUGACGAUCUCUCUGUCAAGAAAAUUUUCAUUUCAUGUAGUAUAUGUGGACGAUCAAUAAAUGAAUAUUAGAGAGGAUGAA